GCCAGGCAUGGCGGCGGGUGCCUGUAAUCCCAGCUACUCAGGAGGCUGAGGCAGGAGAAUCACUUGAACCCGGGAGGUGGAGGGUGCAGUGAGCUGAGAUUGUGCCACUGCACACCAGCCUGGGUGACAGAGUGAGACUCCGUCUCAA
rnacentral:sRNA from 1 species